rnacentral:lncRNA from 1 species
AGAAUUGUCAGCCCUAGAGACGAUCACCAAUCGACCAGGAUCUUCCACCACCUCUCCCUCUGUCGCCUCAAGAAAAUAUCGCUCUUCUCAAUAUAGGGGACAACCGAACGACCGGUGACACAACGGAUGACCAUUGACCCCAACUGCCAUAAGGUGAUUUGAAUGAAACAUUAGUUUUUUUAAUAUCGGGUAUCACUUAAAUAUUUUGGGAGACAACAAAUCGAUACGUCGGCAUCCGUUCUUCAUUUUUUAUCGAACCCAAAAUCCUUCUUCCUCCAAGAAGUAAGUUCUUCACUCCAAUUUGUAGUUGAAUUUUGUUUAUUUUUGUUGAUUCUGUCCAGAACAAAAGAAAAAAAAAAGAAAAAGGAAAAAAUAGCAUAACAUACGAUCGAAUUUGAUUCAAUAGGUGAUGUUGUUAUUUCCAACAAGGCUCUCAUAAAACAAGAUGUAUCCAUGGUUAGUGUUGCUUGCAUACUCCUAAGCCGAACUAAAUGAAGUUUGAACUGCUGAAUCAUCAAUCAUCUCCACAUUCUCAUCAUCAAAGAAGUGCCGGUGGUUGUGGCUUUUCACCAGACUCGCAUAAUGCCCAUGGUUGGGCCCACUGCCAACAUGGACCAUCACCACGAAUAGAGAUUACUCACAGUCAGCAUCUUCCAUGGUGUUUGUUAGCUUCAGCUCAAGGGGAAACACAACACGGUAUGACAACUUCUUGUACCUUCCCAGCUGCUCCAUGUAUUGAAACGUUUCAAAUGUAUCACUAGAAUAUGCAGUUGUUUCUUGAUCUUCAUCCUCUUUUGUGCUUCCUGCAAACUAUGGGCCCCCACAAAACAUUUUUACACUUCAUAAAAAUGAAAACCAUUAUCACAAAAAUAAAAUAUUGUUGAGAAAGAAAGUAGAGAAACCUGCAGCAGUUAUCACAUAAAAACUUAUCCUCAACAUUUAAGGUCUCAGUGGAACUGAAAUUCUUUAGGCAACUUGUAAUGGAACUGUUUUGCUCAAUAUCAAGGCUCAGAUCUAAGAAUAUUUCAUCUCUUGCAGUUACAGUCUCACAUCUUAAACACUUUGUUUCAUUUGUCAGUAUACCCUGAAAUUCAAAAAAUAGGACAACCUCAUCAUAUAAUACCACAUCAUAAUUUCACUAAUUUUAUUUAUGCUUUACUGAUAGGGUUUUAUGCAGAAGAGUCACAUUACUUUGGGAAAAUCACAAAGUAUUUCAUUUCCUAUAAAAAUAAAAUAAAAAAUGACUUUUUUGUUAAUUUGGGCAAAAUGUUAAAUAAUCGAGACUUUUCUGUCCAAAAAAAAUGUAGGACCUGAAAGUUUUUAUGAUAAACUAGGAUAAUAGCUUUCAUUGGCGAUGCUAUAAUAUGAUCUAUUAAUGAUUAGUAGAGUUGUUGAAUAAACCUGAAAGUUUUUGUGAACCCAUGUAACCAAGGGCUCCUUACUUAGACCAUUAGCCUGAGGCAUAUGUAUACCAUUGGCAAUCUUUUCAGGAGGUAAUGAUGAUGCUUUUGAUAUUGUUUUCUGGGAGGUUAAAUGUUUUAGAGAUAUUGUCGUGUGAUUGAAUUUCUCAUUUGUCUGUGAGGGGGAAAGGAUGAGUGUAAUAACCUUAUGUUAGUUAACAGAUAUCAGUAAAGGAAUCUACAUUUGGACUCUAAGUUGUUUAACAACAUACACAUCUAAAAGACUAAAGUGACCUCCAUAUUGUCCUUGAAUUGAUUUACCAUGAAUGCAUGUUUGAUCACUUGAAUCCAAAAAAAGAUUUUUUUUAAAAAAAUCAAACUGAAAUUGUACAAUUUAAUAAAAGAGAAUUUCUAAUGGGUAAAAAAAUUAUAUUAUUGCCACUUAUGACUUAAAAUGUAAGUACAACACACAUUUCUAAUGUUAUUACCCUGAACAGAUUUACCAUCAAUGCAUGUUUGAUCAUUUGAAUCCAAAAACUAAUUUAAAAAAAAUAAACGAAUGAAAAUAUGGUGUAAUUAUAGAGUACAAAUCCCCCCCCCCCUUUUUAAAAAAAGUCAAGAAAAGUAGUUUGCUUGUAUGUUUCUAUGAGUAUAGGCAAGAAAACAAAAAAAAAAUGAAAAUUUGUUGUAAUAAAAACCAUUAUAACCCCACCCUGUGCCAUAAACUUAUUUGAGUUGGUGGUCAUCGGAAAUACCAUUUGAUUUUAUCACAAAUGGCCGCUAUAACCGGUGCUGUCAAGAAAUAGCAACGUACUCUCAGUAUUAAAUUUUAAAAUAAACGAAAAUGGAGAAUGCAGGGGCAAUUUAGGUAUACUGGUAUUUUUUUUUAUUUAAUCUUAUUUUUCCUGUUAUUAAAGAACAACGAACAUUAGCCUAACUUUUAAACUUACAUUAGGUUGACAUGAAUUAAAGGGGAAACAAAAGGGUCAAAAUGACAAUAUUGAACAAAAAAAUAUAUAUUGUUUUAAUUGUUUCAUAUCAAUGUACUUUUGUUUUUUAUGUUUAAGUCGGCAAAUUACGAAAAAGUAUUUUUGAAUCAAAUCAAGGUCAUUUUGACUCCAAAUUUCUUCAACUUAACAGUUUAGGAAGUAUAAUGCCAAAAUGGAAUGUAUUUAAAAAAAAUAAACUUUCUAUGACCUCAAUAUUAAAAUUUUAAAGUAAACAUAAAUGGAAGUUGCAAGGGCAAUUUAGGUAUAUUGGUCUGCUGUUUUAAUUUUAUUGUAUUUUUCCUGUUAUUUAAGAACAAUGAAUAUUAGCCAAACUUUUAAGCUACAAUGAAUAUUAGCUAAACUUUUAAACUGUAUAUUUGGUUGACAUGACAAAAAAGGAAAAAAGAUGGUCAAAAUGACAAUUUUGAACAAAAAAUAAUUUGUUUUAAGUGGGUAAAUUACGAAGAAAAAAAAAGUAAAAAUGACCAAAUUGGACAAAAAGGUCAUUUUGAGUAAAAAAUGUCAUUUUGACUCCGAAUUUCUUCCACUUAGCGGUUUAGGAAGUAUAAUGCUAAUAUGAGACUUAUUUAAAAAUAUCAAACUUUCUGCUUGUGGUCUCAUUUUGUGAUUACAGGUGAUCUAAACUAAAGUAGAAUAAUGAAUAAUUUAUUUUUAUAUAAAUGUCUAAAAAUAUAGCAUUCUAUUUUUAAAAAAAUGCUACCCUUAGCUGUGAACUUAUCCAAUUCACCUGGUGUUAUUUUUUAACAUCUAUUUUGCAACUGCUUUUAAUAAUUGUUUUCAUUUUUUUAGUUUUUUUUUACAUGUAUUCAUAGAAACAUAAAAACACCAAAGUACCUUGCUUCAUUGUUAUUUUUUUAAAAGGGGCAAAUUUCGAUCAGAUGCAAUUAUGUAUUUCUCAUGCAUGGAGUGUUUAUGUAAUUUUGUAUUUGUCAUACCAAUUGUAUGAAAUGUGUGUAUGUGUUGUAAAUAAAAUGAGAAUAUGGUCAUUGUUAUUAUAAAGUAUAAAAUUUCCCUUUUUAAAAAAAUAAAAUCAUGAAAUCGUACUUUGUUGUUUAUAUGUUUCUAUGAGUAAAGGUAAAAAAAUGAAAAUUUGUCAUUAUAAAAUUUUAAAGUAAACAGAAGUGGAGAAUGCAGGGACAAUUUGGGUAUAUUGGUGUAUUAUUUUAUUUUAUCAUAUUUUUCCUGUUAUUAAAGAACAAACAUUAACAAAGCAUUUAAACUAUACAUUGAGUUGACAUGAAGAAAUGAUCAAAAUGACAAUUUUGAAAAAAAAUAUUUUUUAUUUUAAUUGUUUCGUAUAAAUGUAAAGCUAUUUUUUAUGUUUAAGUGGGCAAAUUACUUAAAAAAACCCAUUAAAAAUGAUCAAAUUUGACAAAAUGGUAUUUUUGAGUCAAAAUAAGGUCAUUUUGACUCGGAAUUUCUUUAACCUAUUAGUUUAAGAAGUAUAAGGCUAAAAUGAGACCUAUUAAAAGAAAAUAAAAUUUGUGCUUAUGACCUCAAUAUUAAAGUUUUAAGGUAAACACAAUUGGAGGUUGCAGGGGCAAUUUUGGUUAAUAAUGUAAUUAGUUAGUAAAUUUUAUGUAAUUUAAGAAAAAUGAAAAAUACCAUAAUUGCCAAAUGAAAAAAGAUAAAUGAAAAUAAUAAGAAAAAACCGCUUUAGAAGAUUGCAAAUGACAAAAACAUUCAUACUUAUUAGGGUAGAUUCUUUAUCACAUAUUGUAAUGGGUUUCAUCAUAUUUUCAAAACCAUGAACUUUACUUUCUUUAGUUGUUAAAUAACAAACAAAUAUUUUUUUGUUAUAUUUUUUUCAUAAAAUUAAUAGUUAGUUAAUGUAACUUAUUUUGCUUUGAUAAACAUUUAGAUAGAAAAGAAUAAUUUAAUAAUAUAUAUAAUGUAUUUUUGUCAUUUUAUAUUUAUAUUUAAAAGGGUAAAAAAUAUUUGUCAAACAUAAUGGAUGUUUUAAAGUUGUUUUACUCUAAUAACGUAUAAUAUACAUAAGUUAUGAAUAUUGUUUUUCCUUUUCAACUGUGGUUUCUACGAGUUUAAAUUUAUUAUAAGUCGUUUCAUACAAAUAAUAUGUUGCAUUAUAUAAACUCACGACUUUUAUAAAAUAUGUGGAUUUACAUGUGUAAUUAAAUAGUUACAAAUUACAAAGUUAUUAAAAAAUACAAUACUACAAUUCAUAAGUUUUUCUAAAUUAAUGAUAUAUUAUUUUAUUAUAUAAACAAUUUUUUAAUUCUAUUUAAAAUUAUUACCCGUGGGUUCCACAGGUUUUAACCUAGUGUGUGUAUAUAUAUAUNNNNNNNNNNNNNNNNNNNNUUAAGGAAUAGUAUAGUAAUAUAGUUUAAUCAAUUUGGGUUUUGCCACACUUCUUUAGCAAUUUUGACAGUUUUGGUCGCUCUUUAAUUUUUUCAAAUUUUUGCCACAAAAGUUUCAAUAUUUUGCCACUUUUGGUAAUAUGUGCGGUAUGCUCUGGGGAACUCACUAACCAUUAGCUUACAGUUUGUGGAUUUGUUUUAGGUACAUCUGAGCCCAAGGGCAAGGGCAAGGCUUGAUGGCGUGGCAUGCACUCUCAUUCGAGCGUUUUAUGGGACACACUGAUAUUUUGAAAUAAAGUUGUAAUUGAUAUGGUUUUUAAAACAAUUGUAACUGGUUUUUUUGAAUGAUGGAAUCGUGUUUUGGAUAAUUAAAAAUGAAAAUUUAGGUCGUUACAAGUUGGUAUCAGAGCCUUGGUUUGAGGGAUUCGGGCACACUCUCGGGUGUGUCGGGACUCAAACUAAGGAAAUGGUAAAAUUGUUUUCAAAGAUAAAAUGAAAAGUUUUUAAAGAAAGGAAAAGAUGAGAGUGCAACGCGCGUGAUCAGUCGGGCCAAGUAAGUAGUUCCCCAAUAUGUUAGCCAUGUUAUACUGAUAUUUGAGCUUUGAUGAUUGUAUGGAACUUGCUAUGUGUAUACUUUUAAAACUGUAUACGGUCGAGAGCUUAUAGCCUUAGAAUGAUUGAUUUGACCUUAUUUCCUGUUCCUUAUUUGGUUGUGGUCCUAGGGUAGAAUCUAUUAUUCGAAAGUCUAUUUGAUCCUUUUUCUGUGUAUAACUUGCAUGCAUAAAGGCAAGCUGUUAUGACCGGUAUGAUUGAUGUAAGUAGGCCAAAUCUUAGGACAGCCUAGGAUUUGAGAUAUGCGAUAGUCUGCAGGAUAUGGUUUAUUUUGGGACGAAGUGGAGUUGUCAGGUAGAGCCUUGGGGAAAGGUACAGGUAGGUGCAUAAGGUAGUAUUGGGACCGUACUACUGAAAGCACAGGACCUGUACCCAAACCAAUGCUAGACCUGUGAGCUCUAAGGAGGACUGGUGUGGGAAGAUCCCUGUUAUGGACAUCUUGAUCAUUAUGUUUUAUGGUAUUGCAGUUCAAUAUGGUGGCGAUACGACAUUGAGCUGGUGGAUCAGGAUCAGGAUCUGGAUCUGGGUCGGGCGAUGGUACCGAGCCCAUCGAUGAGAGGUUGUGUGAGCUCAUCGCAACUGAGGUUACGAGGGGCAUUCUUGACGCUACCCCAGUUAUCUUUAGGAUGGUCAAGGAGGGUAUGAUGGAGAUUAUGAAGGAGAGGCUUAGGGGAUUUAGAGCCGAUAUUGUUGCGGGCCAAGUCGGGGCUCGAACUCACUCGUUCUGGGAGUUCAAGGCGUGCGGAGCGCCAAAGUUUUUCGUGGUCAGUGACCCUAUUGUUAGCCGACAUUGGAUGGUGGAUAUCAAGAAUGCCCAACGCACGAGUUCUAGCUCGGACGCAGCAAAGGUGGGUUUUGCUUCUUGUAUGCUGAGAAAUAAAGCCCGAGAUUGGUGGGGCGAGGUUACUAGCCAGGUAGGAGGAGCCGGUAUGGCUGAGAUGACAUGGAUCGAGUUUGUUAGGUGGUUUGAUUUGGAGUUUGCACCACUAAUUGAGGUACAACGACUUAUGAGGGAGUUUCAUGACCUUCAGCAGACCACCAAGACUGUGGCGGAGAUCACCAACAAGUUUCAGGAACGAGCAUUAUUGAUUCCAUAGUAUGCUACCGAUGAGGACAUGCGGAGGACGAGGUAUCAUUCCAUGUUGAGGGAUGAUAUCUGGGAGUUUGUGAGUUUCAUAGGGUGCAAAACCCUUAAUAAGAUGGUUGAGAAGGCCCGUGAGCGGGAGAUGGAGUUGGAAUUCCGCAGCAAGCGGAAGCCUGAGCAGGUUCAGACAGCAGUGGGUCAUGCUAAAAAGCCUAAGACCUCGGAUUCAUCGAGUAAGGGCCAGUAGGGCCGUGGCCGGUGUGCCAAGUGUGGGAGAUCUCAUGGUGGAGUUUGUCGGGGGACAGUUCUGACAUGUUAUACAUGUAAUCAGCAGGGCCAUGUGAGCAGAGAUUGCCCCAAAAACGGCUUGAUUUGUUUCCAGUGCAACAAAUUGGCCAUAAAAGGCCGAUUGUCCGAGGUUGCAGGGACGGGGAGGAGCGGUGGUGGCACCUGCGUCUACCACAUUGAGGAUUACUGAUGGUCGCCCUGCUAAGGCGGAUGCUCCGGUGGUGAAGAGCUGUGUGUUUCAGUUGACCACCGAGGAGGCUCGAGCAGAGCCAAACGUCGUGGCUGGUAUGUACUUACUUACCUGCUCUUUAUUUAUUUAUUUGCAUUGCUUAUGUGUAUAUCAUGCUUAUGUAUAGGGACCUUUUUGGUCAAUGGUAUGUAUGCUCAUGUUUUGUUCGAUUCAGGAGCUACCCGAUCGUUCGUGUCUCUUGCGCUUAGCAGGAAGUUUCGGGACGCGCUGGGAACCUUGGAUUCCCCGCUCGAGGUGGAGAUUGCAGAUGAACAUACAGUGAGUGCUACGAGGAUGUAUCGGGACUGUGUCCUGAAUGUUUUUGGAGACAGGUUUCGUGUCGAUCUAGUUUCGAUACCGUUGCGGGGACUAAAGGUGAUUGUCGGGAUGGACUGGUUGGGGGCCAACGGGACCAUGAUUGAUUAUGAGCGCCAUUUAGUGAGGUUCGAAACCCAAGUGGGGGAGAACUAUUUAUACAGGGUGAGAGUGUAACACCCAUAAAAUUCAUAUCAAAUUUAAACUUUCAAAAACAUGUAAAAUACCAAUAGUUAUUACGAAAGGUUUUCAAAAUAGUUUCACAUCAUAGCUCCCAUAAAUCAUAAUCAUAAAUCGAGGGAAGUGUACGAUCACGCCUUUGCCUUCCUGCGGUCAUCCGCCGAACUUGAAACAAUAAUCGAUAAGUGUAAGCUUGAAAGCUUAGUGAGUUACCCCCAAAAUACCAACCUCAUAUAACCAUAACAUAUUAUACAACAAACAUAGAACAACCAUGUAUCUAGAGUCUACAGAGUGACUGGUCCGCCCACAUAGAGCCUUCAGUCCACUUGGUCCACUCUCUGAGUCUUUAGUAUGACUGGACCGCCCGCAUCGGGCCUUCAGUCUAUCUGGCCCACUCUCCGAGCCUCGACACGUCUGGACCGCCCUCGUGGGGACUUCAGCCUAUCCGGACCGCUUGUCGGGCCUUCGGCCUGACUAUGUACCCUUCUGGGUCUGCAGUCUAUCUGGUCCGCCCUGGGUAUGUUGGCCUACAGCAUGAAGCAGGACCCGCCUCAACCCAACCCCCAUACCAAUCAAUCAUGUGCACAUAACAAAUAAUCAUAUAACAGUCCAUAUAUAAACAAACCGAUCUAACAGAACAUAUAGCAUAACAACAUCCUAACCAGGAUACCGACCUAAACCAGGUCACUAAACAUAGCAUCAUCCUAUAUACCAGGAUACCGACCUAAACCGGGUCACUCAACACAAUACCGCCCUAACUACCAGGACGCAGAUCUAAAAGAUCAAUAAACAUAGCAAGCAAAUACCAAUACACAAUCCGAGAAAGGGUUGGCCUUGGUACCUUAGACCCUGUCGAUAUAGUAAGGAUAACUCACCUCAAAAUGCCGAUCUGAAGAGAUGAGAUCAAAACUCCCGACCACCGCUACGAACACCACCGCCUAAAACUUCAUUGAAACCAUAACCAUCAGAGCCCAAGUUACCAAAAUACCCUUUGAAGUCAAACUAGUCAACUCUUGGUCAAAGUCACAGUCCUGGUCAAAGUCAACCUUCCUGGUUGACCCUACUCGCCGAGUUAACCUAGGGACUCAUUGAGUUCAUGAACUCAGAAACCCCACAAUUUGCGACUUGACUCGCCGAGUCACCCCAUGACUCGUCGAGCCCUUCAAUCCGAGUCCUAGCCUGUCCAACUCACUGAGUCCACUCAACUCUCUAAUCUGCAUUAUAACCAGAUGGGUUAGGGUUUGUGACCCAACUCGUCGAGUCCAAUAACAGACUCGCCAAGUCUACUAAGCCAUCCCUAUUCAAACAAUUUCAGACCAUCUCACUGCUUCCAACUCAUAGAUCUGGACUCUUAGGGCUAGUUUCACAUGUAAAGUUUCCAACUUUACGUGCAUGUAAGGCAAUAUAGGCUCAACACAAGCUAGAAAGAAGGUUCAAGACAAGAAUGCUCUCAAAUGAGCAAAAAGGCUGCUACUUUAUUCCUCCAUGGACCAAGAUAAGUCUAGAUCUGAAGUUGCAACCCCAGAUCUAGUCCCAAAACCCAAAAUGGAUUCCAAACAUGCUAAAAAGCCCCAAAUCCUCAUCCAUGAAAAGAUCUAGAAGGGUAAAGCUCAAGGUAACGACUUGUUACCUCAUAAAUAUGCCCAAUAUGAAGUAGAUUCUAGAUCUACACGAGUUCCUUGAUGCUAGCCUCUUGAUCUACAAGUUUCCUUCACUAGAAUCACCUUCCAAAGCUCAAAAACUCUCACCAAUGGCUCACACUCAAUUUUAGGGUUUACUGACUCUCAAGGGUAUAAGGAGGCUGAGGGGAGGACACAUGAUCAUUUAAAUAAGGUGCAAACCCUAAGAUUUAGGGUUUUCUCUUCCCAGCACUGACUCGUCGAGUCUAGCCACCGACUUGGCGAGUUAGGUCACGUAUCACGUGCCCAACAUACGUUCCGACUCGACGAGUUAAAGCUCCAACUCGCCGAGUCUACUUUUCCAUUUACACAUUACACCCCUGAACUCUUGCUUCCAAACUUGGGAUGUUACAGAGAGGGCCUCGUAGGGGCCAACUAUCUGUUCAGCUGCGAGGGGAAGGAGAUUUCUGCAACAUGGAUGUAUGGGAUUUAUGGCUUAUAUCUCAGAUAUGAGGGUUGAGACCACGACGUAUGUGGGCAGUGUGCCGGUUGUACAGGAGUUUCGGGAUGUCUUUUCCAAAUAAUUACUAGGAGUGCCUCCGGAGAGGUAGGAGGAGUUUCAAAUUGAUUUAAUGUCGGAUGCCGCUCCGAUAGUGAAGGAACCAUACCGGUUGGCACCGCCCGAGAUGCAAGAGUUAUCUAAGCAGCUUCAGGAGCUGCUAGAUCGAGGGUUCAUCCGUCCGAGCAGUUCCCCGUGGGGAGCACCGAUCAUGUUCAUGAAAAAGAAGGAUGGAUCACACAGGAUGUACAUUGAUUACCGAGAUAUGAACAAAAUAACAGUGAAGAACCGUUAUCCGUUGUCAAGGAUCAAUGAUUUGUUCGAUCAGUUUCAGGGUACGUCUUGUUUUCCAAGAUUGAUCUUCGAUCGGGGUACCAUCAGAUGAGGAUUCGGGAUGAGGACAUACCGAAGACAACUUUCAAGACUCAGUAUGGGCACUACGAGUUUGUGGUGAUGUCGUUUGGGCUCACCAAUGCCACAAUAGUGUUCAUGGAUCUCAUGAACAGGGUAUGUAGACCAAUGUUGGAUCGAUCGGUUAUCGUUUUUAUUGAUGAUAUUCUGGUCUACUCUAAGACCAAGGAGCAGCACGAACAUCAUCUGAGGGAGGUAUUGGAGACCCUGAGGGCAGAGAGGUUGUAUGCCAAGUUCUCCAAGUGUGAUUUUUGGUUGCGGGAGGUACAAUUUUGGGGUCACAUUAUCAGUCGGGAGGGUAUUUCUGUUGAUCCAGCUAAAGUAGAGGCAGUGAUGCAGUGGAAAGUACUGAAGAAUGCUUCCGAGAUCCGUAGCUUCUUGGCCCUAGCGGGCUAUUAUCGGAGAUUUAUCCAGGAUCGAUUUCUCCAAGAUUGUUGUGCCCUUGACCCGCUUGACCAAGAAGAAUGCAACCUUCCGAUGGGGUACGGAUCAGCAGAUGGCUUUUGAGACCUUGAGGCAAAGGUUAUACGAGGCUUCGAUUCUGGUACUACCCGAGGGGUUAGAUGAUUUGGUGGUAUACUGUGACGCAUCGAUUUUUGGGUUAGGUGCAGUACUGAUGCAGAUGGUGCAUGUGAUAACUUACGCCUUGAGGCAGUUGAAGCCUCAUGAGGCGAAUUACCCUACUCAUGAUCUGGAAUUGGGGGCAGUGGUGUUCGCCCUUAAGAUCUGGAGGCAUUACUUGUAUGGAGUGAGGUGCACCAUCUAUACUGAUCACAAGAGCUUGCAGUAUUUGAUGGAUCAACAGAACCUCAAUAUGCGAAAGAGGAGGUGGUUGGAUGUGCUGAAGGACUAUGAUUGUGAGAUCUUAUACCAUCCUAGAAAGGCCAACGUGGUGGCCAAUGCUUUGAGCCGCAAGGCAGCAGGUUCCCCGAUUGGGAAUGUUUGUUUGAGGAUGACUAUGAUCUAUCCAUUGUUGGAUAUGAUCAAGGGGGCUCAGGUCGAGGGGUGAAGAAGGAGAACUGGAAGAUAGAGCGGAUUCGGGGACAAUAUCCUUUGUUUUUCAAGGAUACAUGUGGCCUUUUGACACAAUAUGGCCGAGUGUGGGUACCGGUGACUAGAGGAGUGAGACAGAAGAUAAUAGAGGAGGCUCAGAAGUCCAAGUUCUCUAUACAUCUACGGGCUAUGAAAAUUUAUAGAGACUUGAGACUGAGUUAUUGGUGGCCUUGCAUGAAGCGGGAGAUCGCCUGGUUUGUGGAGCGGUACUUAGGGAUGAGAUUUAGAACCGGAAAACCGGACCGGAACCGGAACCUUUAGAUCUGGUUCCAGUUCUGGGUUUAAAAAUUAUCUUUAUCCGGGUUCUGGGUAAUCCGGGUUUGGGUCCAUUGGGUCCGGGUAAACCGGGUCUAAAAACCAGAACCGGUGUUAGGAACCGGAACCACUUUUAGGGCCGGAACCGGUUUUUGAGAAAAUUUUAAAAGAUGCAUAUCUCAUUCGUUUCAACUCCAAUUGACAUGAGGUUUUUUCCAAUACGUAGUUUAGAGUUUGUACAUGAUUUUAGACUAUAAAUUUGCCAUUUUUAGUUUUAUAUUCAUCAAUUUAGAGUCCCCCAAAGUCGAGAUAUCAAAGCUGGAAGUUUUUAGUUUCUUAGUUUUUUUGUAUUCGGUGAAUGUUUUAAAACAUGCAUAUCAAAUUCGUUUGAAGUCGGAUUAACAUGUGGUUUUUUCCAGCUUUUAGUUUACAUUUUGUAAAUGAGUUUAGACUAUAAUUUUGUCAUUUUUGGUUUAAUAUUGAAUGAUUUACAGUCCUCCGAAGUCAGGAUAUCAAAACUAGAAUUCUUUAACUUUUCAUCUAUUUGUUUUUGUACUUUGUAUUCUAUGAAAAUGUUAACACAUGCAUAUCUCAUUAGUUUAAAGUUGGAUUGACAUGCGGUUUUUUCCAAAGUGUAUUUUAGAGUUUGUACAUGAUUUUAGACUAUAAUUUUGUUAGUUUUAGUUUCAUAUUCAAUGAGUUACAGUCCCCCAAAGUCGGGAUAUCAAUAUGAAAGUUUUCAAAGUUCAACCCACGAAGUAGUAAUUAAUUACCGAAAAAUUCCAGUUUUUUUGGUUCUGAACCCACUUUAUCCGGUUCCAACCUACCCACUUUGAUGUUUUCGGGUUUUCCGAUUCUAGACCCACUUUACCCGUUACCAUACUUGGAACCGAACCGAAACUGGAUCCAAUAUACCGGUCCGGUUUCCAGUUCUAAAAAAUCCCGUUAACCGGUUCCGGGUUUGGACCCACUUUAAUCCCUAGUUGUAUUUGAACUGCAGGAAGGUCAAGGCCGAGCAUCAGCGGCCUCACGACAAGAUUCAGUCGCUACCCAUUCCCAUGUGGAAAUGGGAAGAGAUCACUAUGGACUUCAUCACGAAGUUACCAAGGACGGCGAGGGGUGUGGACGCCAUAUGGGUAAUCGUAGACAGACUGACGAAGAGUGCCCAUCUUAUUCCGAUCUCUGAGAGUAUAUCCACCGAGAAGUUGGCGGAUGUUUAUGUGUGGGAAGUGGUGGCUAGACACGGAUUGCCAGUAUCAGUAGUCUCUGACAGGGAUGUUCGGUUUACAUCCAGGUUUUGGAAGAAGUUCCACGAGGAACUGGGCACUCAGUUGCAUUUUAGUACCGCGUACCACCCCCAGACAAACGGCUAGAGCGAGAGGACGAUCCAGACACUGGAGGAUAUACUGCGAGCAUGUGUGUUGGAUUUUAGAGGGAGUUGGGAUACUUCCCUUCCACUAGCAUAGUUUUCAUAUAAUAAUAGUUGCCAUGUCAGUAUCGACCAACCUCCAUUUGAGAUGUUGUAUGGCAGGAGAUGUAGGACUCCGAUUUGUUGGGACGAGGUUGGACACUGAGUCAUGAGGAGCAUUGAGGUGGUGCUCAAGACUACCAGACUGAUUCAACAGGUGCACGAUCGGCUGCGAAUCGUGCAGAGCUGUCAGAAAAAUUAUGUUGACCGGCGGCGAUCAGAUUUUGAGUUCCAAGUGGGGGAUUUCGUGCUAUUGAAAGUGUCUCCCUGGAAGGGGGUCAUCAGGUUUCGAAAGAGGAGCAAAUUAGGGCCACAAUAUAUAGGCCCUUUCAGGAUUACAGCACGGGUGGGCAGGAUAGCACAUCGCUUGGAGCUGUCGGAUGAGCUUAACCAGAUUCACAACACUUUCCAUGUGUCAUAGCUUCGGAAGUGUGUCACUGACGAGUCUACAGUCGUUUCUCUGGACGACAUUCAGGUAGACGAGAGCGUAAACUACAUUGAGAGACCCGUUGUGAUUUUGGAUAGGAACACCAAGGGUCUUCGGAACAAGGAAUUGAAGCUGGUAAAGGUGGAAUGGUAACACUGAAGGGGCUCCGAAUGGACAUGGGAGCCGGAGGAGGAGAUGCGGGAGCAUUACCCCGAUCUAUUCACAUUUGUAAAUGGGGGAGAGUUGUAACACUCCAAAUCAGGUAUUUCCUUUAAAUCCCUUGAAGAUUUUAAAAAUUCCAUAAUAAGUCCCUUAAGUACGUUGGGCGUACUCAUUGGUACACUUAGCGUACUAUGUAUGAUUGAUCGUGGAGGGACAGCACGUACGUUGGGCAUACCAAAAGUAUGUCGGGCGUACGUGGCGGAUGUUCAAACCCUAAUUCCCGGACUUGAGACCUAUAUAAGCAUCCUUAUCUUAUAUGAGCCUCACCCUAAUAAGCCUCAUUCACCUUCAAACAUCUCUGAAAACCCUAAUACCAUUUGAGAGUGUGUUUUGAGCUUAAGGAGUGCAUUUGUGGCCAUUUUAGUGUCCAUUCAAGAAGAUGGAGUUGUCAAGCAAGCUUGGAGUGGCAUUGGGCAUCAAGAAUCUGCAUCUACUUUACCUUGAGGAGCUUCUGGAGGUAUAAAGCUUUGAUCUUUCCAUCUUAUUCAUUAGAUUUAGCUAAGGUUUUCUAGUUUUGUCCUUUUUGUUGGUUUUGGAUCUCCUCUUGUGAGUUGAACAACUCUAGAGGCUUGAAAUGUUAGAUCUGAGGUCCUUUGGUCCAUUCAUAGCAUAAAAAUGAAGUCUUGAUGAGUGUUUUGAUCUCAUGCAUGGAUUAAGACCCUUGGAAAGGUCUUAAUGGGUUGGUGGGAACAUAUGAGACAUGCAAAGGCCUAAAGUUGCCAACUUUAUGCCCUAGGUCAUCUUAAUGAGCUUAGAUUUGACUACUGGACAUGAGAAAAUCGAGUAUUAAGCACUUAAUGGAAGAAAGUGCUUAAUCUGUUAGUACGCUGGGUGUAACUUAGCAUACGCAACGCAUACGGCCCAGGGACUCAAUACUUUGUGCAUACCAGGGUGGUACACUAAGCGUACGCACUACAAAAUAGACUUGGAUUUGUUUUGGCCUUUGGGCUUUUAGGCCUCAAUUAGUCAUUGGGCCUGGUCAUGUUUGGGGGUUAGUGGACCAGUUUAUCUGUUUUGGACCAUGGAUGUUAAGAUUGGGCCUUAUUGGGCCAUGAGGCCCAUUAAUGGUUUUGGAUAUGGACUUUGGGCCCAUUAAGUAAGGAAGAAUUUUUGGGCCAUUGUGAAAGGACUUGGAGAUUUGGGUUCUCCACUUAGAUGGUGUAUGAUCCUAACAUUGAGUAAUAUUAUUAUUGUUCAACACGGGUGUCUAUGGACUAUUAGGAGAGCAGCCUUCGGAUUCUAUAGAUGGAGGUGAGUCUCCUCGCCAAACCAAUGGUUCUAAGGCACCAAGGUCGGCCCAUUAAUUGUUAUGUGAUGUGUUAGUGGGUUAUGGAAUAUGUGAUAUGCUGGUUAUUUGUGACACUUGCAUGAAAGACCUUGGGGGGUUCCCGAGGCACCUAGGUGUAAGACCUUGGAGGGUUUCCAAGGCAUCCUCGGUAAAGAACUCAGGGGGUUCCCAAGGCAUGUGUGCUAAGACCUUAGGGGUUCCCGAGGCACCCGGAGUAAGACCCUGGAGGGUUUCCAGGGCAUCCUUGGGCUAAGACCUCAGAGGCUUCCCGAGGCACCCGGAGUAAGACCCUAGAGGGUUUCCAAGGCAUCCAUAUAUGUUGUAUGCAUGGCUUAUGUGGUAUAUGUAGCUUUAUGGCUAAUAUGAUAUGUGAUAUGUGGAUUGUAUGUGCGUUAUGCUCUGGGGAACUCACUAAGCAUUAGCUUACAAUUUGUGGAUUUGUUUCAGGUACAUCUGAGCCUAAGGGCAAGGGCAAGGCUUGAUGGCGCGGCACGCACUCUCACUCGGGCGUUUUAUAGGACACUCUGAUUUUUUGAAAUAAAGUUGUAAUUGAUAUGGUU